rnacentral:rRNA from 1 species
ACUCCUACGGGAGGCAGCAGUGGGGAAUAUUGGACAAUGGGCGCAAGCCUGAUCCAGCCAUGCCGCGUGAGUGAUGAAGGCCCUAGGGUUGUAAAGCUCUUUCACCGGUGAAGAUAAUGACGGUAACCGGAGAAGAAGCCCCGGCUAACUUCGUGCCAGCAGCCGCGGUAAUACGAAGGGGGCUAGCGUUGUUCGGAUUUACUGGGCGUAAAGCGCACGUAGGCGGACUAUUAAGUCAGGGGUGAAAUCCCGGGGCUCAACCCCGGAACUGCCUUUGAUACUGGUAGUCUUGAGUUCGAGAGAGGUGAGUGGAAUUCCGAGUGUAGAGGGGAAAUUCGUAGAUAUUCGGAGGAACACCAGUGGCGAAGGCGGCUCACUGGCUCGAUACUGACGCUGAGGUGCGAAAGCGUGGGGAGCAAACAGGAUUAGAAACCCGGGUAGUCCCAU